UACGUAGGGUGCGAGCGUUAAUCGGAAUUACUGGGCGUAAAGCGUGCGCAGGCGGUUUCGUAAGACAGACGUGAAAUCCCCGGGCUCAACCUGGGAACUGCGUUUGUGACUGCGAGGCUAGAGUACGGCAGAGGGGGGUAGAAUUCCACGUGUAGCAGUGAAAUGCGUAGAGAUGUGGAGGAAUACCGAUGGCGAAGGCGGCUUUCUGGGUCCGCCCUGACGCUGAGGCGCGAAAGCGUGGGGAGCGAA
rnacentral:rRNA from 1 species